rnacentral:snRNA from 1 species
AUACUUACCUGGCAGAGGAGAGGUCAUGGUUCAGAAGGUGGUUUCCAAGGGUGAGGUUCCUCCAUUACNCUUGGGAUUUACUGAUUCACACAUAACCCCUGUGAUUCUCCCCAAUGUGGGAAACUCAACGUGUAAUUUGUGGGAGUUGGGUAUGCGUUUAUGCUUUCCUCUA